rnacentral:rRNA from 1 species
GAUGAACGCUGGCGGCGUGCCUAAUACAUGCAAGUCGAGCGAGAAUCUGAUGAAUGGAGAUUCGUCAAAAUGAAUCAGAGGAAAGCGGCGGACGGGUGAGUAACGCGUAGGCAACCUGCCCUUAGCAGAGGGAUAGCCAUUGGAAACGAUGAUUAAAACCUCAUAAUGCUGAAAAGUCACAUGUCAUUUCAGCCAAAGAUUUAUCGGCUAAGGAUGGGCCUGCGUCUGAUUAACUAGUUGGUGAGGUAACGGCCCACCAAGUCGACGAUCGGUAGCCGACCUGAGAGGGUGAUCGGCCACAUUGGGACUGAGACACGGCCCAGACUCC